ensembl:lncRNA
CUAUAAAGGGGGCUACUUGCCUCCUCCUCUCCCUCUUAUUUCUCUCUUGCUCUCUCUUGUUCCUCCUCUUCUCGUGCCCCUCUUUGUCCCUGUCCCUUCUUUUCCCAUCUCCCCCUUUCCUCCCACGUGCCCAUGGCCAGCCUUUCCUUCUUCUACUACUCUUCUUCUCUCACUAAACCUUUCCACGUGGAACCAUGUUGGCUUGGUGUACCUUGUCUGGGCGCUGGCUGAGAUUUUAAACACCAACAAUAUGCAGGCUCAGGUCAGCAGGUGUAGAAGUUGUGACUCCAAAAGGAGACACUCAAGAAUCUGAAACAUGUGAUAUCAUCAACAAAGACACCUUCAGCUCAGAGUUCCCAGAAAACACGCCUUGGAAUACGCAAGCCAUCGCAAGUUCGUAUGUUUGUGAUGAACAACUACUGGAAAGGUCCUCCCCUCAAAAAGUUUUGUAAAUCACACAUUCAGCAAGAUCCAACCAAUUUACAAGCUCAACACACACCUUCAACCAUCAGAAGGGCAACUCAGCAUCACCGUGUCACAGUGGACUCCGAGGGACCCUACACCUUAUGAAUGGGCAUUGUCCUCAAGAAGGUGAUGGAAAAUACCAGUGUACUUCAAGUAAUUUCAUACCCAGGAGGCUGCUCUGGCGAGAUGGUUUGGAGCAGUGGAUCCCAGCCUUCCCUAAGGCUGUGACCCUUUAAGGCCUCAUGUUGUGGUGAGCCCCAACCUUAUAAGAUUAUCCCCAUUGCUACUUGCAACAGUAAUUUUGCUGCUGUUAGGAGUGUAAAUGUAUCUGUGUUUUCUGUGGUCAUAGGUGAGCCCUGUAAAAGGAUCAUUCAACUCCCCAGGGUGAGAAUGGCCAAUUCAGAGCCUUUCAUCUUUAACCUCCAGCUCCUUAGAUUGUUCAUGUUUUAAGCCUGAUCAAAAGCAGCCUUUAUGUUUUCCUCCACAUCCCUGGUUAAAUUUUUCUGUUUAAGUCCAAGAGCAAAAAACUCUGCCAUACCUGGAGAGAUCCCCUCCUGGGGUGAUAAACACUUGACUUACGACUUUGUGGGCCAUCCAGAUGCUGAGACAUCAUGCGUCCCAUGGAUGUCGCAUGCACCCACGUCUUCUUCAGAAUGUUAAGCUUCAACCCGAACAACACAAUAAUAAAGACUGUCAGGAGUUCCUCAGUACAGUUAAGACACAUCUUUGGAAAGGAGAAAAAGAAGAACUGCACAGAGAUGUCACUGAUUAAGAAAGAAAAAAAGGUACAGGAAGAACCAGGCGGAGCGACAACAGAAACUGAAGAAGUCACAGGCUUCAGUGGUGGUUUGCACCACCAUAUAUCAUAUGUGAGUCAGGAGAAUGCAGGCAUCUCAUGCCCUAGGAAUUUCCCAUAUUUCUAGGAAAAUACAUCUUCUCCCUCUGCUGGGAACGUGGGGUUCAUCCAGUAGGAAGUGUAAAAGGAGCUCACUGUAAAGCAUAUGGUACAAAGCUACAGGUGGAGAUGAAGAGAUGGCUCAGUGGUCAGAGCGAGUUCAGUCUCCAGCACCUGCUUGGGGCUCACAACUGUCCACUACUCCAGCCCAGAAGAUCCAAUACCCUCCUCUGGCUCCAGCAGGUACUCAGUGCACUCAUAUGGUGCACAUAUAUGCGUUCAGACAUAACACAUAAAAUAAAUUUUAUUUAAAGAAAAAUGCCACAGGCAUGACUGUUGGUGGAUAGUGCCUGUUUGGGUCAUGAAAAGUGAAGUUUCUGUAGGCUUCAGGUUGAGAUCUAGUCUUCUUCUGUGCAAAGUUUCAGGACUGGUUCUUGCUCGGAGUAUUGGAGCUCUCAGGAUGCUUGUGACUUCAGUGACAAUGCCAAUGGAAACUCUAGAGAUGGGCCACGCCCCAGCUAGGGAGAAGGAUCCGCUAAGGAGAAUCUCAAACUGCAAGCAGGGCUGAACCGCACCCCAUACUCUCAUCCCAGGAGUUAGAGGACAUUGAGCUAAGUUCAGGACUAGGAAUUCGUGGUGGGAAUGGGGAGGUAGCAAUCCACAGUGCGGUGAAACACUGAGUCUGCUCCAGAUCUGACUGAUGAUGAUGGAUCCUAUCUAGGUGCUGCUUAAAUGCUUUUCUUUGUUCCACAGUCGAGUCUGGAAACUGUACAGAUGACCAAGGGUCCAGGCAGACAGAGGAUCAAGUCCAGUACCCUGCUGUCUCCCUUAGAGAGGACCCCCUAAAGCCCCGUGGGCUCAGGAAGGGCACACAGGCCCAGGAGAUGAAUCAGUAGGUAAAGUGCUUGUUGCACAAGCAUUUGCCUCUGACUGCAGAUCUCCAGCACCUACAUAGAGGACUGGGACGGCACAGCGUACAACUGGAUCCCAGCCCAGGGCGGGGAUGAGGAGCAGUAGGGUGGUCUGAACAUUUGCCAUCCCGCAGGAUUUGUCUAUCCCCGAGCUCCACGUCCAGCAAGAGACUCUGUCUCAAAUAAAUAAAAUGUGAAGUCUUUGUCUUGCUCACACACAAAACAGGCACACACACACACACACACACACACACACACACACACACAGGUGCACACACAUGCAUACGCCACACAAGAAAAAAAGAAAGCAGAGAUUAGGCAGGAGGGCUUUUCACACCUGCACUUGCAGCACUUGGAAGGUAGGACCUGGGGCUGAGGGAUGUAGGGUCACCCUCAGCCCCACACAUGGUCUGAGUUCAUCGUAGGCUAUGUGAGACCCUGUCUUGAAAACAUCCCACAAAAACAAACAGAAAGCCACUGCUGGUUAGAAAACCAAGAACCCAUGGCCACGAAUGAUAGCACACGAGACUGAAAAGUAAGUGUAAUAACAGUAAAAAGAAAUUGUGGAAAAAUAGAAAAAGCAACUAUUAUAUAAAUCUUAAAGGAGGGAAGCUGGAGGUGGGGGAAGAAGGUAAACAAGAAAGAAAAAUUUUCAGAACAGCUUUGAGUAAUAGAACAAUAGAGCAACUGCUUAAGUCUGACAAAAUGAACCAAACGGUUAACAUAGCAAACACAGUACAGCAUAGGGGGCUGGCUAGUGUUUGCCUAGCUCUGGCCUCGGUACACACCCACACACAUACAAACUUGCUCAGACAAACUCACGUAUGCACCCACACAAGCGUGUAUAUACACCACAUUCCGAAAAGUAAAAGAGAAAGUAGAAAUCUCAAUAAAAGCUUAUGUUGACUCCGUGUUGGAAUAUUAAAUGGAUUUAAAUUGGAUAAACUAAUUUGACAUACUUCCAGAGAUUAUUUUUAUGUGACUCCAUGAAGUUUUUGAUUGCAUACAGAGCUCGAAUAUUUCAGUUAGACAAUGAUCUAUGUAGCUCCUUAAGGAAAGCUGAAGCACC